rnacentral:rRNA from 1 species
GAUGAACGCUGGCGGCGUGCCUAAUACAUGCAAGUCGAGCGAACAGAUGAGGAGCUUGCUCCUCUGACGUUAGCGGCGGACGGGUGAGUAACACGUGGAUAACCUACCUAUAAGACUGGGAUAACUUCGGGAAACCGGAGCUAAUACCGGAUAAUAUAUUGAACCGCAUGGUUCAAUAGUGAAAGACGGUUUUGCUGUCACUUAUAGAUGGAUCCGCGCCGCAUUAGCUAGUUGGUGAGGUAACGGCUUACCAAGGCAACGAUGCGUAGCCGACCUGAGAGGGUGAUCGGCCACACUGGAACUGAGACACGGUCCAGACUCCUACGGGAGGCAGCAGUAGGGAAUCUUCCGCAAUGGGCGAAAGCCUGACGGAGCAACGCCGCGUGAGUGAUGAAGGUCUUCGGAUCGUAAAACUCUGUUAUUGGGGAAGAACAAAUGUGUAAGUAACUAUGCACGUCUUGACGGUACCUAAUCAGAAAGCCACGGCUAACUACGUG